rnacentral:rRNA from 1 species
CAAACGACUCUCGGCAACGGAUAUCUCGGCUCACGCAUCGAUGAAGAACGUAGCAAAAUGCGAUACUUGGUGUGAAUUGCAGAAUCCCGUGAACCAUCGAGUUUUUGAACGCAAGUUGCGCCCGAAGCCUUUUGGCCGAGGGCACGUCUGCCUGGGCGUCACACA